ACAGCAGCAGCCACGGUAAUACAGAGGGUGCGAGCGUUAAUCGGAUUUACUGGGCGUAAAGCGUGCGUAGGCGGCUUCUUAAGUCGGAUGUGAAAUCCCUGAGCUUAACUUAGGAAUUGCAUUCGAUACUGGGAAGCUAGAGUAUGGGAGAGGAUGGUAGAAUUCCAGGUGUAGCGGUGAAAUGCGUAGAGAUCUGGAGGAAUACCGAUGGCGAAGGCAGCCAUCUGGCCUAAUACUGACGCUGAGGUACGAAAGCAUAGGGAGCAAACAGGAUUAGAUACCCCGGUAGUCCCUGUCUCUUAUAC
rnacentral:rRNA from 1 species